GAUGAACGCUGACCGAAUGCUUAACACAUGCAAGUCUACUUGAAUUUGGGUUUUUUAACUUAGAUUUGGGUGGCGGACGGGUGAGUAACGCGUAAAGAACUUGCCUCACAGCUAGGGACAACAUUUGGAAACGAAUGCUAAUACCUGAUAUUAUGAUUAUAAGGCAUCUUAGCAUUAUGAAAGCUAUAUGCGCUGUGAGAGAGCUUUGCGUCCCAUUAGCUAGUUGGAGAGGUAACGGCUCACCAAGGCGAUGAUGGGUAGCCGGCCUGAGAGGGUGAACGGCCACAAGGGGACUGAGACACGGCCCUUACUCCUACGGGAGGCAGCAGUGGGGAAUAUUGGACAAUGGACCAAGAGUCUGAUACAGCAAUUCUGUGUGCACGAUGACGUUUUUCGGAAUGUAAAGUGCUUUCAGUUGGGAAGAAAAAAAUGACGGUACCAACAGAAGAAGUGACGGCUAAAUACGUG
rnacentral:rRNA from 1 species